GGUGUGAUUUGAUUCGAGCAUGCACGAUAUUUGAUCUUCAAUGUUUGAGCUUAGGACCCCUAGGAUCUUGCCUACAUCAUUGAUAGUCCUUAGCCCCAUUACAACCAAAGAAGAAAGACCUUUUUGAGCCAUAAUGUGACUGCGAAAUAUCAUGACUAAUUGGAGUUUCUUCUUGUGUGAGAAUUACCUUAUCUUAUGGAGAGAUUGAAUGGGCGUGAGAGUUGCACUCAUUGUUGCCUAAUUUGGACUAGAUUGAUAAUGAAAACACACUUUGGAGGUUCAUGUUCUUAGUUCGAGAGUUGGGAAGUGAUGGUGAAUUGCAUGAUUUGAUUUGAUAGACUGUUUCGUUCCUGAUGCUUUGAUGUUGCUUGGCUAGUCGUUUGGUUUGUCGUGUCUUGUCUCGUUUCUUUUUACUUUCCUGUUCUUUGCGUGUGUCGUUGUGUCUGUUUUCCGUUCUUUCGUUUCUAGAGUCUUCGUGUCAAGGAAAGGAGUUGCUUCUAGGGGUUGAAUUUCACCAUUAAUUCUUCUCUUAUUUCAUACCUGAGGACAAGUAUGAUCUAAGUGUGAGGGGAUUUGAUGUGUGUAUUUUAGUUACCUAGUUUAGUGUGCGUUUCGCCGUGGUUUCAUGUGAUAUUACAUAGUUUGCUAUGUUUUGGCGCAGGAAUAAGAAGAAUUGGAGAUGGAGCUGCUAUCUGGAAGAAAUUGGAGAAAGACGAGCUUUUGACGAAGAUAAUGGACUGUGAAGAAGAAGUUUUGAGAUCGGGCUUGGAAUUAAUUGUCUAGAAUUUAUUUAGUCCAAAACUCUUAUUUUUAAUUAUAUUUUGAGGCCUUAUUUUGAUUAAGGGCCGAAGCCCAUGUUGCUAGGAGGUGGGCGGCAGCCUUAGGGAUUUUAAUCCCUCAUGUUUUGCUUAGUUAGGGCAGCCGCAUAGUUAGUAUAUAAUUAGGUUAUAAUUCUUAUUCUAUUACUAUUAGAACAGCCGCA
rnacentral:lncRNA from 1 species